CGGGCAGAAUCCACCCUGUAGAGACUGCCUCUGGGCUUGAGGAAGAGAUGACUGAAGCCAUUACAGAAGCAGCAGUAGCCUCAAGUGAGGAGGUGUCAGAGGAAAGAGACGACCUGGGGCCUCUUGAAUUACAUGACAGUGUACCUUUCAACAAGUCGUGAACCUUCUGGACAUCAUUGACAGCGAGUCAGCAAAGACGGACACAACAGGGGCAGGCCUUGACAUGCGGAAGACCCUGGCCUCGGUGAUAAUC
rnacentral:lncRNA from 1 species